rnacentral:pre_miRNA from 13 species
CUCCGUCCGCGGCCCGUGGCCGGGCCCUGUUUCAAGUAAUCCAGGAUAGGCUGUCCUGCCGUUCGGCCUGUUCUCCAUUACUUGGCUCAGGUCCCGGCGCUCAGCGUCUCCCGCCUGG